CUAUGAUCUACAGUGCCCAUUCCAACUCAGAGAAUCUUUACAUCUGGAGAUCUAUAGCAGGGCUAUCCCUAGUGACAUGCGUGAAGAAGCUUGGAAAUGGUGCUGGGUAGGAGCUGAGUGUGCAGAAUGUGGAAAGGCAUUCUAAACCAAAGGAAGAACACGAGUAAAGAUGAUGAAGCAGGGAUAAGGCUAAAAUGAAAUUUGUGAUCUGAUCCACAUACAAGCACAGUGUAGUACAGCUGGAAUAUAGAGAAGAGCUUGAAGACUUAUGAGCAACUAUCCCGGUACUCUUGGAGGCUCUGCAACCACAGUUUGAGAAACUCCGCGUUCAAAGUUAAAAACUGUCACCUGAAUAGUUAAUAACAUCAAAGAUUGUGAAAGCAAGUAUAAAUAACACAGAGAUUAAAAUAAUGAGGCAGGAUCAGAAACACUGACCUGCUGUGUAAGAAGUCCAACUGCCCUGAGGCCACCAGGCUGGAGAGACCAUGUAUGGAUAGGUUCUCUGAUCAACAGUUUCUAUCAAGCCCAGCCUUCUAGCCAUCAAGCCCAGCCUUCUAGCCAUGUCCACCAAUGUGCCUGACAUGUGAGUGAAGCCAUCACAGACCCUUCAGACCAGCCCACCUGCCAGCUGAAUACUUGGGUUAUGGUGGCCAUCCAGACAUAAAGAAAUUAGAACGUUCAUUCAUCUGCAGAUGCUCACACAUUCCUACAGGAUGACUGAAACCCACAGCAAACAA
rnacentral:lncRNA from 1 species